rnacentral:rRNA from 1 species
GACGAACGCUGGCGGCGUGCUUAACACAUGCAAGUCGAACGGAAAGGCCCUGCUUUUGUGGGGUGCUCGAGUGGCGAACGGGUGAGUAACACGUGAGUAACCUGCCCUUGACUUUGGGAUAACUUCAGGAAACUGGGGCUAAUACCGGAUAGGAGCUCCUGCUGCAUGGUGGGGGUUGGAAGGUUUCGGCGGUUGGGGAUGGACUCACGGCUUAUCAGCUUGUUGGUGGGGUAGUGGCUUACCAAGGCUUUGACGGGUAGCCGGCCUGAGAGGGUGACCGGCCACAUUGGGACUGAGAUACGGCCCAGACUCCUACGGGAGGCAGCAGUGGGGAAUAUUGCACAAUGGGCGGAAGCCUGAUGCAGCAACGCCGCGUGCGGGAUGACGGCCUUCGGGUUGUAAACCGCUUUCGCCUGUGACGAAGCGUGAGUGACGGUAAUGGGUAAAGAAGCACCGGCUAACUACGUG